AACACCCCCUCUGACCCCUCCUAUUCCAGGUCAUAGAGCAGCUGCUGGUUAGUGGGCAGCCCCUGCUCAUCUUCCUGGAGGAACCUCCUGGGGCUCUGGGGCCACGGCUGUCAGCCCUGGGCCAGGCUUGGGUGGGGUUUGUGGUGCAGGCAGUCCAGGUGGGCAUCGUCCCAGAUGCUCUGCUGGUACCAGUGGCCGUCACCUAUGACCUGGUUCCGGAUGCACCGUGUGACAUAGACCAUGCCUCGGCCCCCCCUGGGGCUGUGGACAGGAGCUCUGGCUGUCCUACGUAGCUUGUGGAGCCGCUGGGGCUGCAGCCACCGGAUCUGCUCCUGGGUGCACCUAGCUCAGCCCUUUUCCCUGCAGGAAUACAUCGUCAGUGCCAGAAGCUGCUGGGGCGGCAGACAGACCCUGGAGCAGCUACUGCAGCCCAUCGUGCUGGGCCAAUGUACUGCUGUCCCAGACACUGAGAAGGAGCAGGAGUGGACCCCCAUAACUGGGCCUCUCCUG
rnacentral:lncRNA from 1 species